UACGUAGGGUGCGAGCGUUAAUCGGAAUUACUGGGCGUAAAGCGUGCGCAGGCGGUUAUGCAAGACAGAGGUGAAAUCCCCGGGCUCAACCUGGGAACUGCCUUUGUGACUGCAUGGCUAGAGUGCGGCAGAGGGGGAUGGAAUUCCGCGUGUAGCAGUGAAAUGCGUAGAUAUGCGGAGGAACACCGAUGGCGAAGGCAAUCCCCUGGGCCUGCACUGACGCUCAUGCACGAAAGCGUGGGGAGCAAACAGG
rnacentral:rRNA from 1 species